GCUUUACUGUAUCCUGGAAUUGGGUUCGGGCUUUUCUUGCGCAGCCUAGGUGGGGAGGCAUUGAAGAUUUCUUUCCGGGAAGUUUGGAGCCAUCAUUGAGGAGACCACUCUGGAGAGGCUAGAAUCCUAAUGGUGAUCCUUGAAUCAGGACACUUGACAGUUUCAGGUGGGCAGUUUUUCUGGGGCGGAAACCUCAUAAAAGGUAACUGAGGCGCGCAAAGGUUCCCUCAGUCUGGACGGAAAUCAGACAACGAGUGUAAAGGCAAAGGGGAGCUUGACUGCAAGACCCACAAGUCGAGCAGGAGCGAAAGCUGGCCUUAGUGAUCCGACGGUGCCGUGUGGAAGGGCCGUCGCUCAACGAAUAAAAGUUA
rnacentral:rRNA from 1 species